rnacentral:rRNA from 1 species
AUUGAACGCUGGCGGCAUGCCUUACACAUGCAAGUCGAACGGUAACAGGUCUUCGGAUGCUGACGAGUGGCGAACGGGUGAGUAAUACAUCGGAACGUGCCUAGUAGUGGGGGAUAACUACUCGAAAGAGUGGCUAAUACCGCAUGAGAUCUACGGAUGAAAGCAGGGGAUCGCAAGACCUUGUGCUACUAGAGCGGCCGAUGGCAGAUUAGGUAGUUGGUGGGAUAAAAGCUUACCAAGCCGACGAUCUGUAGCUGGUCUGAGAGGACGAUCAGCCACACUGAGACUGAGACACGGCCCAGACUCCUACGGGAGGCAGCAGUGGGGAAUUUUGGACAAUGGGCGCGAGCCUGAUCCAGCAAUGCCGCGUGCAGGAUGAAGGCCUUCGGGUUGUAGACUGCUUUUGUACGGAACGAAAAGCCCUGGGUUAAUACCCUGGGGUCAUGACGGUACCGUAAGAAUAAGCACCGGCUAACUUCGUGCCAGCCGCCGCCGUAAAAC